GCAGGUGUCUGAAGGCCAGGAUGGUCUCCCCAUGGCAGCUCCUCUGGCUUCUGGUGCUCUGGGCUCAGGAUUCCCAAGGAGCCAUUGUGCUGACCCAGUCUCCAGCCUCCUUGUCUGGAUCUCCAGGAGAGAGAGUCACCAUCAGCUGCAAGGCCAGUGAGAGUAUAUAUAGCAGCCUUCAUUGGUACCAGCAGAAACCAGGCCAAGCCCCCAGGCUCCUCAUCUCCUAUGCUAACAGGCUGGCAUCUGGAGUGCCUGCCUGCUUCAGUGGCAGUGGGUCUGGGACAGAUUUCACUCUCACCAUCAGCAGCUUGGAGCCUGAGGAUGCUGGAGAUUAUUACUGUCAGCAGGAACAUAACUGGCCUCCCACAGUGCUUCAGGCCUGA